rnacentral:rRNA from 1 species
GGGGAAUAUUGGACAAUGGGCGAAAGCCUGAUCCAGCCAUGCCGCGUGUGUGAAGAAGGUCUUCGGAUUGUAAAGCACUUUAAGUUGGGAGGAAGGGUUGUAGAUUAAUACUCUGCAAUUUUGACGUUACCGACAGAAUAAGCCACGGCUAACUACGUGCCAGCAGCCGCGGUAAUACGUAGGUGACAAGCGUUGUCCGGAAUUAUUGGGCGUAAAGCGCGCGCAGGUGGUUUCUUAAGUCUGAUGUGAAAGCCCACGGCUUAACCGUGGAGGGUCAUUGGAAACUGGGAGACUUGAGUGCAGAAGAGGAAAGUGGAAUUCCAAGUGUAGCGGUGAAAUGCGUAGAGAUUUGGAGGAACACCAGUGGCGAAGGCGACUUUCUGGUCUGCAACUGUCGCUGAGGCGCGAAAGCAUGGGGAGCAAACA